UUAAGUUAGUUUAUAAAAAAUGUCAGGUUGUGGUUCUGAAGAGGGGGGAGCCCACUUAAUU
rnacentral:tRNA from 1 species